ACGUGAGUUUGCAACUCUUCUUUUUCUGUUUCUUUUAUACUAUGAUGCCUUAUAUUGGUGUUAUUCUCUAGCUUAUGAAAUGCACAGAGUCAUUAUUUGAGCCUAAAAAAAUUUCAUAAUUGAUCUAUUUUAUUUCUUAGUUAUUAGUUAUUCGAUAAUUCUCCAAAUAUAAAUUCACUAAUCUCUUAAAUCUCAUCUUGAAGGUUGCAUACAUUUCUUGGCAAAAGUUUGGAAUUCUUUACUCCUAAUAUUGCAUUCCUUCCUCAAGACUUGGAAGGAAAAUGAAUGCCAAUCGACAGUGGAUGUAUAAUAUUCCUCCAGACAGCGAAGAUGGGACAACAGUCUUCCUCAUUGAUGCCAUCAUCGUCUGAUAUUCCUCCAGUUCAUAGAUCCCUUGGUGAUUUACAUAUGGAUUAGCAUAAUGUCAUUUCUCACGUACUUAAAUAAUAUAUUUUAUGAUAUGAAUUUGAUAUUAUUUGGAUCCAUUAUAUAUUUUGAGAUAUUUUAAGUU